GAAAUGUUUGUUCCCGAUAAUUCUCUGGGUCCGCGAUAGAGAGAGGAGAGAAGAGAGAACCCAGCUCGCCCCCUUCUGAAAUCUCUAGAGUAGGUAUUGGGAACAAAUUUAGGGGUUUUUUGGACCCCUAAAUUCUAGAUUCUAGAGAUAGAGAUCGAUAAGCUUCAAUGUUUUGAGGAGAGAAUAUAUUUUGGAACAAUCGUUCCCGAUAAUUCCAGAGUCUGCGCAUAGAGAGAGGAGAGAAGAGAGGAGAGAAGAGGGAAGAGGAGCUCGGCCCCUUGUGAAAUCUCCAGUGCAGAGCAGGUAUUGGGACCAAUUUUAGGGUUUUUUUGGACCACCUAUGACUGACU